AGAAAAUUAUAGUUGUUACAGUUUAUGAAACUAAUAAAUUAAAUACGUAUUGAAUAUUAUAAUAGUUAUUUACACAUAGAAAAAAUAUCGACACAAUAUACGUCAUAUGCGAUAAAUCUAAUGCACAGCAUUAUUGUUUUUAGUUUAGAGAUGUAAACAAUUUAGAUAUGUAUUAAAAACAUUUAUAGCUAGACAUGGAAAAAGAUGAAUACUAUUUAUAUUUAAUUAAUAUACUUAUUUACUAAUAACAUACAUUUAUAUACGGGAGCAUUUUGACUGCAGUCCGUGGACUGAAAUGGCAUACACAAGGUAUUUGAUUGUCUGGUGCUACGCCCAAGAAUAGAAAAAUUUAAAUUGGCAAAUAGAUUGGGACAAUAAAUGUUUCAAUUAAGCAAUUUAAAUAUGAAACAGAGAUCUAUUCUUGUUCGUCUUGUUUCCAUCGAUUCAAGGUUUAAAUAUGUCAACAAUGACUAGUAAGAGGAGUGACGUUGCCGUAAGACGUUACAUUUAAAUGAUACUAACUUCUCAGAAACCGAUUUUGUAUUGUUUCUACAGCUUGCUAGCUAUUUUGACAUUCGCAAUAUACUUUGAAAUGUUUAUGUGAUUUGCACAUAUUUCUGAGAGAGUCACCUUAGCAUAAAUACAAUAUACAAUAUAUAUUUUCAAACGGUCUGGAAUGCCGUUUUACAUAUUUAUAUAAUAAUGGUCUUCUGAAAAUAUUCUCUUGAUUUCUGUGUGUCUGUCAAAUAUUUUAUAUAGGAUUUGACGAUUUCGAGUGUUGAAUAAAUUAAUAGAUAAGAUAGCGGUGUUUUGGGACGAAUUUCUCCACAUUUUUACCUCGGUUCGAUAAUCUAAAAAUAUUAUCAUAAUAUUUUUGAUUUUACAAUAAUUUUCUCCGAUAUAAAAUGUCACAAGUAUUUGUUCGGCAAACAAAUAUUUUUAUGAAUUUCAUUUGUCGCACAAAAAUCUGAAAAAUACUAAAAACUUAUGUAUAAGUACUUGCAAGUAUAAAAUAUGCAUAUUGAGGAAAAUCGUUUUCCAAGCUUUUUGCUCAGAUUUCCGAAACGUUUUUCCCGCACAGUAAAUUUUUAAACAGCAUUGGUACGUAGCGUUUGAACUGUUGUUUGACGACGGUCACGCCACCAUCGAGGUGAACCAGGUGGCUAAAACAAUAACUAAUAAGGUAUACUACGACGACGAUGAUGUUGUCGUUUAAUGAGCUACCCCUCCGGGAGUGCCAUUUUGGACGCUGUAGAGAAAGGGAGAAGACGAGACACGAACGUCACAUAGUCGUCGGCAAUAAUGGCAGUCCCUUUGACGGUUUAAGCGUAUUAUUAUUAUUCCCGUAACGGUGACCGGGCCGAU